UACGAAGGGGGCGAGCGUUGUUCGGAUUUACUGGGCGUAAAGCGCACGUAGGCGGCUCUUUAAGUCGGGGGUGAAAUCCUGGAGCUCAACUCCAGAACUGCCUUCGAUACUGUAGAGCUUGAGUUCGGGAGAGGUGAGUGGAACUGCGAGUGUAGAGGUGAAAUUCGUAGAUAUUCGCAAGAACACCAGUGGCGAAGGCGGCUCACUGGCCCGAUACUGACGCUGAGGUGCGAAAGCGUGGGGAGCAAACAGG
rnacentral:rRNA from 1 species